rnacentral:lncRNA from 1 species
AGGUGGGAAAACUGGAAAGAUUGAAUGUCCUUUGGAGUUCACAGAGGUUUGGCAGUGGGAGGAGAAAAACAAAACGAAGCAUAGUGGGAGUGUUGAACAGACUUUCCCAAGAUCCCCAGAUCCUGAAAUUCAAGAAAAUCUUUGUCAAAGUGUUAGCUGAGUGCAAGCUAAGGUAUCCAAAUAGUGAAUACACACACCAAGGAAUAAUCUUUGCAAAAAUACUUUGUCUCAAGGCAAAUAGAACACAAUAGACUUUAAUAAUCAAAACAGAAACACCAACAUAGAGAACCUAAGGAAUGAAGAGAAUCUGAUUUCCAAAGUCACCACGUUAUAAAAAUCAAAUGCCAAUCUUCAACAACAACAAAACAACAAAAUUCACAAGGCACACAAAGAAACAGGAAAAUGGCUCAUUCAAAGGAAUAAAAUGAUUAAUUGGCAUAAACUGUUCCUGAGAAAGCCCAGAUACUAAAGUUACUUGACAUUUGCUCAACUGGAUAAGAGUGAGUUUCGACAAAGAAGUAAAGGCAAUUUGGAACAUAAUAUUUUCUCUAAAGGAGAAUAUCAUCAAACAAAGAAAUUAUAAAAAAGAACCACACAGAAAUUCUGGAGCAGAAAAGUACAGCAACUGAAGUUUUUAAAAUUACUUGCAGAGAUCAACAAUGGAUUUGCAGAAGAUUAGUGAACCCAAAGAUAGGAAAAUUGAAAUUAUUGAGUCUGAGGAGCAGAAGAGAAAAAGGAAUGAACAAAAGUGAAUAGAACCUAAGGAAACUGAGGGACACCAUCAAGCAGAUCAAGGAGAAGAGAGAGGUAAAAAAGAGUAGUGAGAUAAAUAAUAGCCAAAUACCUUCCAAAUAUGAAGAAAGACAUGAAUAUACAGAUAAAAUAAGCCCAACAAAUACCAAAUUGGAUAAACCCAAAAACAUCUACACCAAAGCACAUUAUAAUGAAACUGUUGAAAGCCAAACAAUGACAGAAUCUUAAAAGCAACAACAGCAAGGCAAUUCAACAAAAUAAAAGGGAUGUUCAAUACAAGUAUCAGCCAAUUUCUCAUCAGAAGCCUGGAGGCAAGAAGGCAGAGAAAUAAUAUAUUUCAAGUGCUGAAAAAAGCCAGGCACAGUGACUCACGCCUAUAAUCCAUGCACUUUGGGAGUAUGAGAUGGGUGAAUCACUUGAGGUCAGGAGUUUCAGACCAGCCUGGCGACCAUGGCGAAACCCGGUCUCUACUAAAAAUACAAAAAUUAGUCGGGUGCAGUGGCGCACACCUGUAGUCCCAGCUACUUAGGAGGCUGAGGCAGGAGAAUUGCUUGAAUCUGGGAGGCAGAGGUUGCAGUUAGCUGAGAUCAUACCACUGCACUCCAGCCUGGGCAACAGAGUGAGACUCC